rnacentral:tRNA from 1 species
UGUUCGGUAGCUCAGGGGAAGAGCACUCGCUUUGCAAGCGAGGGGUCGGCGGUUCGAGUCCGCUCUGAACGC